ACGAGCUUCCGUUGAAUGACGUGCUUGCACUGAUUUCAACAAUGAAGCGAGUGGCGAACUGGUGAGUAACACGUGGGGAAUCUGCCCAGAAGCAGGGGAUAACACUUGGAAACAGGUGCUAAUACCGUAUAACAACAAAAUCCGCAUGGAUUUUGUUUGAAAGGUGGCUUCGGCUAUCACUUCUGGAUGAUCCCGCGGCGUAUUAGUUAGUUGGUGAGGUAAAGGCCCACCAAGACGAUGAUACGUAGCCGACCUGAGAGGGUAAUCGGCCACAUUGGGACUGAGACACGGCCCAAACUCCUACGGGAGGCAGCAGUAGGGAAUCUUCCACAAUGGACGAAAGUCUGAUGGAGCAAUGCCGCGUGAGUGAAGAAGGGUUUCGGCUCGUAAAACUCUGUUGUUAAAGAAGAACACCUUUGAGAGUAACUGUUCAAGGGUUGACGGUAUUUAACCAGAAAGCCACGGCUAACUACGUGCCAGCAGCCGCGGUAAUACGUAGGUGGCAAGCGUUGUCCGGAUUUAUUGGGCGUAAAGCGAGCGCAGGCGGUUUUUUAAGUCUGAUGUGAAAGCCUUCGGCUUAACCGGAGAAGUGCAUCGGAAACUGGGAGACUUGAGUGCAGAAGAGGACAGUGGAACUCCAUGUGUAGCGGUGGAAUGCGUAGAUAUAUGGAAGAACACCAGUGGCGAAGGCGGCUGUCUAGUCUGUAACUGACGCUGAGGCUCGAAAGCAUGGGUAGCGAACAGGAUUAGAUACCCUGGUAGUCCAUGCCCGUAAACGAUGAGUGCUAAGUGUUGG
rnacentral:rRNA from 1 species